rnacentral:rRNA from 1 species
UGAUGCAGCAACGCCGCGUGAGGGACGACGGCCUUCGGGUUGUAAACCUCUUUUAGCAGGGAAGAAGCGAAAGUGACGGUACCUGCAGAAAAAGCACCGGCUAACUACGUGCCAGCAGCCGCGGUAAUACGUAGGGUGCAAGCGUUGUCCGGAAUUAUUGGGCGUAAAGAGCUCGUAGGCGGUUUGUCGCGUCUGCUGUGAAAUCCCGAGGCUCAACCUCGGGUCUGCAGUGGGUACGGGCAGACUAGAGUGCGGUAGGGGAGAUUGGAAUUCCUGGUGUAGCGGUGGAAUGCGCAGAUAUCAGGAGGAACACCGAUGGCGAAGGCAGAUCUCUGGGCCGCUACUGACGCUGAGGAGCGAAAGGGUGGGGAGCAAACAGGCUUAGAUACCCUGGUAGUCCACCCCGUAAACGUUGGGCGCUAGAUGUGGGGACCAUUCCACGGUUUCCGUGUCGUAGCUAACGCAUUAAGCGCCCCGCCUGGGGAGUACGGCCGCAAGGCUAAAACUCAAAGGAAUUGACGGGGGCCCGCACAAGCGGCGGAGCAUGCGGAUUAAUUCGAUGCAACGCGAAGAACCUUACCAAGGCUUGACAUAUACGAGAACGGGCCAGAAAUGGUCAACUCUUUGGACACUCGUAAACAGGUGGUGCAUGGUUGUCGUCAGCUCGUGUCGUGAGAUGUUGGGUUAAGUCCCGCAACGAGCGCAACCCUCGUUCUAUGUUGCCAGCACGUAAUGGUGGGAACUCAUGGGAUACUGCCGGGGUCAACUCGGAGGAAGGUGGGGACGACGUCAAAUCAUCAUGCCCCUUAUGUCUUGGGCUUCACGCAUGCUACAAUGGCCAGUACAAAGGGCUGCAAUACCGUAAGGUGGAGCGAAUCCCAAAAAGCUGGUCCCAGUUCGGAUUGAGGUCUGCAACUCGACCUCAUGAAGUCGGAGUCGCUAGUAAUCGCAGAUCAGCAACGCUGCGGUGAAUACGUUCCCGGGCCUUGUACACACCGCCCGUCAAGUCAUGAAAGUCGGUAACACCCGAAGCCAGUGGCCUAACCGCAAGGAUGGAGCUGUCUAAGGUGGGAUCG